CUCCUCUCUCCCUCCCUCCCUCCCUCCUCUCCUUUCUUUCUCUUUGGUUCCUCUCUCUUAUCCCCUUUACCUGUCUCAACUCCCUUAUCCCUUGCUCCUGUCUGACCUACCCUAUCCCCUGCUCCUGUAUCACCUACCCUAUCCCCUGUUCCUGUAUCACCUACCCUAUCCCCUGUUCCUGUAUCACCUACCCUAUCCCCUGUUCCUGUAUCACCUACCCUAUCCCCUGUUCCUAUAUCACCUACCCUAUCCCCUGUUCCUAUAUCACCUACCCUAUCCCCUGUUCCUGUAUCACCUACCCUAUCCCCUGUUCCUGUAUCACCUACCCUAUCACCCGUUCCUAUAUCACCUACCCUAUCCCCUGCUCCUGUAUCACCUACCCUAUCCCCUGUUCCUGUAUCACCUACCCUAUCCCCUGCUCCUGUAUCACUUACCCUAUCCCCUGCUCCUGUCUCACCUACCCUAUCCCCUGCUCCUGUCUCACCUCCCGUAUCCCCUGCUCCUGUCUCACCUCCCGUAUCCCCUGCUCCUGUCUCACCUCCCGUAUCCCCUGCUCCUGUCUCACCUCCCGUAUCCCCUGCUCCUGUCUCACCUCCCGUAUCCCCUGCUCCUGUCUCACCUCCCCUAUCCCCUGCUCCUGUCUCACCUCCCGUAUCCCCUGCUCCUGUCUCACCUCCCGUAUCCCCUGCUCCUGUCGUACCUCCUCCAAACUGCCUCUCUACUCUCCUCUGCUAUUUUGUCUCCUCCUUCCCUCUGGGUUUUUCUUCAGCCUCUGCUUUCAAGUCCCUCUUCUCCUCCUCAACUCCUCCAAUUCUCCAGUUCUCAAGAGACACUCACAGACUCUGGCAACUUUACUUCCCUCCUCUAACAUUGCUAUCAGUGACACGGUAGCUUUAGCUUCCAGUGAUGACUUCAUUCCACUACUCCCUUGGCCAAUGUGACAGACUGAGAACUUAACCAGGGUAUGAGGAAUAGUAAUACUAUCUUAAUGCUAUAGGCAGGCCUCUGCCAGUAGUGUUAUGGAAGCGUG
rnacentral:lncRNA from 1 species